rnacentral:misc_RNA from 1 species
UCGAAGCUCCAUCUAUCAAUGGAUAAGAGCAUAAGACUUCGGUUUUAGUGUGUACGAGUUCUUAAAAAAAAAGGAGCAAUACCAACUCUCUUGAUAGAACAAGAAAUUUGGUAUUGCUCCUUUUUUUACUAAUCUUUUUUUAGUAAUAUUGAUUUUUUCUAAUAUAGAAUACUUUAUAUAAAGAGAUAAAGAAUAUAAAGACAGAAAGAUGUUUUUUCUUUCUUUCAACAUAAGAAAAAGUCUUCUUAUAAGUUGGUUUCUAAUUGAAUAGAAUUAUUAUAUAAUUUUAAUAAAUUUAUGUACUAAAUUGAGUAAAUAUAUUUUGAGUAAAUAUAUUAUUUAAUAUAUUUAUAUAUAUCUUUUUUUGUGAAGUUAGUUUUUUAGUAUUGAA